rnacentral:rRNA from 1 species
GACGAACGCUGGCGGCGUGCUUAACACAUGCAAGUCGAACGAUGAAGCCGGAGCUUGCUCUGGUGAAUUAGUGGCGAACGGGUGAGUAACACGUGAGUAACCUGCCCUUGACUCUGGGAUAACUGCUAGAAAUGGUAGCUAAUACCGGAUACGACCCUCGGAGGCAUCUUCAGGGGGUGGAAAGAAUUUCGGUCAAGGAUGGACUCGCGGCCUAUCAGCUAGUUGGUGAGGUAAUGGCUAACCAAGGCGACGACGGGUAGCCGGCCUGAGCGGGUGACCGGCCACACGGGGACUGGGACACGGCCCAGACUCCUACGGGAGGCAGCAGUGGGGAAUAUUGCACAAUGGGCGCAAGCCUGAUGCAGCAACGCCGCGUGAGGGAUGACGGCCUUCGGGUUGUAAACCUCUUUUAGUAGGGAAGAAGCGAAAGUGACGGUACCUGCAGAAAAAGCACCGGCUAACUACGUGCCAGCCGCCGCCGUAA